AAUGAACGUUGGCGGCGUGGAUUAGGCAUGCAAGUCGAGCGAGAACCCAGCAAUGGGGGACAGCGGCGAAAGGGACAGUAAUGUGUAGAUCAUCUGCCCUCAGGUCCGGGAUAGCUGCGGGAAACUGCAGGUAAUACCGGAUAACAUCUCCGGAUCAAAGGUGUGAUUCCGCCUGAGGAUGAGUCUACAUCCUAUUAGCUUGUUGGUGGGGUAAUGGCCUACCAAGGCGAUGAUGGGUAGCGGGUGUGAGAGCACGACCCGCGUCAUUGGGACUGGGACACUGCCCAGACACCGACGGGUGGCGGCAGUGGGGAGUCUUCGGCAAUGGGCGCAAGCCUGACCGGGCGACGCCGCGUGCGGGAUGAAGGCCUUCGGGUUGUAAACCGCUGUCAGAGGGGAUGAAAUGCAGGUGGGUUCUCCCAUCUGUUUGAGAUAGCCUCAGAGGAAGGACGGGCUAAGUUCGUGCCAGCAGCCGCAGUAA
rnacentral:rRNA from 1 species